CAAACCAAACAUCUUCUAAGGGUAUGGAGGUGCCAAAGGGUUAUCUUGCAGUGUACGCUGGAGAGAAAAUGAAGCCAUUUGUGAUCCCCAUAUCAUACUUGAGCAAACCUUCCACUACAAGAAUAAUAAGAUUUAGCUGCAAUAGAAAGCAUAGGUCACACUAUUUGCGUAGGUUAAGCCUACACGAAAUGAAGAAGAAAAAAAAUAAACUAAAUAGUGUCCGUCAAACACACGAAAAAUCCACACACUUCAAGAAAAAAAGUAAUUAGUUUCCACAUAUUUGUGGGGGCGAAAUGUGGACGUAUUUUUCGUCGACCAAACCCACGCAAAACUGAUGCAAACUUAAAAAAAAAAAUUAUAAUAAUAAAAUUUUAAAAUUUUGAAGGUUUAGCCCACGCUAUGUUUUUGAAGCUAAGUCCCCGCUAUGCCUUUGAUGCUAAGUCCCCGCUACUUAUACGUUUUGAAUGUUCAGCCCACACUAUGAUUUUAAAAUUCAAAAUAAUAAAAUUAUAAUUAAUUUAUUUCAAAACUUCUAGUUGUUAAAAGGUGUUGAACUCGAAUAUGAGCCAGAGAGCCCACAAAACUGCUGAGCAAACAUUUCUUCCUCCACUCCUUCUUCUUCUUCCUCCUCCACUCCACAAAACUCCGUGACAGUGACCGUGCUUCGACCGUGAAUGUGCGACCGUGAACAUUCAUCCUCCAUUCCUUCUUCUUCUUUGACCAUGGUCGUGCUUAGACCGUGAACGUGCGACCGUGAACGGUGAGUUUCAAAUUGCUUCCUCCAUUCCUUCUUCUUCUUAUACGACCGCUAAUGAGUAACCCUAGGUUCUUGAUGUAGGUUUCCCAUAUACUUGCUUUUUCUUAAAAUUAUGAUGCUGAUUUGUGUAACCCUAGGAUGAUUUUUCUUCUUACAUGUUGAUUUAAGAGGAUGCUAAGUUCUCGAAUGAUUUUGAUACUAUGUUCCUUGUAGGUCAUUGAUAGAGGACUGUGAAUAUCUUAGCUUUGUGAGGUUGGAUUUUAGCAGGAUGGUCUUUUAAGUGGAUUUUAGCAAGAUGGUCCUUAGUUUUCUAGUAGUGGAAGCAUAGUUGACUCUCUAAUGUCAUUAUAUUAUUGACCACCCGAAUACGAAUAGUUCUUUACGUGACAUGUUAUGAAUAAUUUGUGUAAAAAGGGUAUAAGUGAAUACACAUUGGAUUACUGAGGGAGUUAGAAGUAACAGUGGUCCAUGAGACAAUAUAUAUGAACCAUAGCAUUGAAAACUGACAUCUGAACUUCCAUAAACGAAGCUGGCAGUCCUAUCCAUGCAUAAUCAAUGUCAACAUCAUGGCACUACAUUUUCAUUUUGCCUAUACAUGUGAGAGUCCUCUUAGACAUUACCACAUGCCCUUGUCUCUCAGUUUCUCCCAUGACUAUUAUCUCAUAAUCUUUCACCAAUAAUUCAACUACCCUUCUUACAUAAGCUUUAUCUAUAUAUAUUCACCGUUGCUAGCAUUUUCGAAUCAACACAAAUCAUUCACAUCCUGAAGCAACAAAAUUCAUAAGCCUCAGCUCUCAAGCUCUUUUCAUACCAUUUUAUCCUCAAGUCUGAGCAAAUAUACAACACAACAAUGGGCUUUCGUUUACCUAGUAUCAGAAGGACAUCAUUCGCAACAAACCAACAUCUUCUAAGGGUAUGGAGGUGCCAAAGGGUUAUCUUGCAGUGUACGUUGGAGAGAAAAUGAAGCGAUUUGUGAUCCCCAUAUCAUACUUGAGCCAACCUUCAUUCCAAGAGAUGUUGAGUGAAACAGAGGAAGAGUUUGGAUAUGAUCAUUCCAUGGGUGGUCUUACGAUUCCUUGCAGUGAAGAUGUCUUCCGAAGCACAACUUCACACUUGAAUAGGCAUUAAGUUUUGUACUAUAGAAGUCUGACACAGAAUUGAAGAGCCAUUUUGUCAUAGGCAUCUUCUCAAUUUGUUAACAUAACUCCUUUUGAGUAAUAGGAAAAAUGCGAUUAUAGUAACAUUUUGUCCUCUUUUUAUUUGUUUAAUGAUGUUGAGUAUCCCUUCUUAUUUUAAUGAGGAUCAUGACCAAUGAAUCUUGCUAACUAAUCCAUUGAAUAUAUUAAAUGAUGGUCAUUUCAAAAGAAAUGUUCAUGCAAUGUUUCUAAAGUCUUAGUGGACCUAAAAUGUCCCAUAAGCCCACCCUCAUCAGCCUCUUUAACAAGAGAUUGUCUUAUAGAUCCUUGGGGCACACAAAGUCUUUUUCCUUGAAAAANNNNNNNNNNNNNNNNNNNNNNNNNNNNNNNNNNNNNNNNNNNNNNNNNNNNNNNNNNNNNNNNNNNNNNNNNNNNNNNNNNNNNNNNNNNNNNNNNNNNNNNNNNNNNNNNNNNNNNNNNNNNNNNNNNNNNNNNNNNNNNNNNNNNNNNNNNNNNNNNNNNNNNNNNNNNNNNNNNNNNNNNNNNNNNNNNNNNNNNNNNNNNNNNNNNNNNNNNNNNNNNNNNNNNNNNNNNNNNNNNNNNNNNNNNNNNNNNNNNNNNNNNNNNNNNNNNNNNNNNNNNNNNNNNNNNNNNNNNNNNNNNNNNNNNNNNNUUGAAAAAAAGAUAAUGUUGCCAAUUUUGCAAAGCUCGAACAAGAGCAUAAAGUUCUUUAUCAUAAGUGGAGUAAUUGAUAUGAUUCCCUUUGAGUUUCUCACUAAAAUAAGCUAUGGGGUGGCCCUCUUGAAGGAGGACAACCCUAAUGCCUAUAUUGGAGGCAUCACAUUCUAUUUCAAAUGUUUUAGUAAAGUUAGGAAAGGCCAAGAUGGGGACUUUUGUCAAUCUUUCCUUCAAAGUUAUAAAAAGCUUUUUCUUCCUCUUGUCCCCACUUAAAAACCACAUCCUUUUUUACUAUAGCAUUCAAUGGUGCGGAAAUUGUACUAAAGUCAUUCACAAACCUUCUAUAAAAACUAGCAAGGCCAUGAAAGCUUCGUACCCAUUCACAUUGGUGGGUGUAGGCCAAUGUUGAAUUGCUGCAACUUUCGUUUGAUCUACAUGCACCCCUUUAUAAUUUACGAAAAACCCUAUAUGAUAUAAUGCAAAGAAACAUUUAGCAUGAUUAGCAUAUAACUUCUCCUUCCUAAGAGUUUUUAAGACUUGCCUAACAUGUGACUCAUGAUCUUCUAAAGAAAAGCUAUAUAUAAGGAUAUCAUCAAAAUAAACUACAACAAAUUUGAAUGUUCUUAAAACAUGAUGCAUGAGUCACAUGAAGNNNNNNNNNNNNNNNNNNNNNNNNNNNNNNNNNNNNNNNNNNNNNNNNNNNNNNNNNNNNNNNNNNNNNNNNNNNNNNNNNNNNNNNNNNNNNNNNNNNNCAUGACUAACCACUCAUAUAAGCCAAAUUUGGUCUUAAAAGCGGUUUUCCAUUCAUCACCUUGUUUAAUACGAAUUUGAUUGUAACCACUCUUAAGAUCAAUUUUGGAAAAUAUUUUAGACCCAAACAAUUCAUCCAACAAGUCGUUUAACCUAAGGAUGGGAUGCUUAUACUUGAUGGUAAUUUUAUUUAUAGCGCGACAAUCCGUACACAUCCUCCAUGUCCCAUCUUUUUUAGGGACAAGUAUGAUAGUCAUAGCACAUGGGCUCAUGCUAUCUUGUACCCACCUCUUAGCAAUUAAACCCUCAACUUGUUCUUGAAUGUCUUUAGCCUCUUUGGGAUUGGUCCUAUAUGCUGGACGAUUUGGUAAAGAAACCCCGCGCGUGAAGUCGAUUUGAUGUUCAAUCCCUCUUAGAGGUGGUAAGCCUUUAGGAGGAUCUUGAAACACGUCUUCAUAUUCCUUUACCAAGUUAUUCAAACACGUGGGACUAUUCUUAGCCAACUGACAAUCAAUAAUCCUAGGAAUAGCUAAAAAAAUAGGCUUUUGAGCAACUAUUACCUUUUUUAUUUGUUGUGUGGACAUGAGAAGGCUUCUCUUGAAACUUUUUUUUUUAUCAUUUUCUCUCUCUUUUCUCUCAUUUUAACUUGGUCCUCAUGGACUUCCUUUGGAGUGAGAGAUUUAAGUAUGACCUUGUGUCCAUGGAAGUUAAAAGAAAUUUUGCUGGUAAAGCCAUCAUGAAAAACUUUUCUAUCAAAUUGCCAUGGCCUACCUAAAAGAAUAUGUGUGGCUUCAAUUGGUACAACAUCACACAAGACCUCAUCUUUAUAUUUACCAAUAGAAAAUGCAAUAAGGACUUGCUUGAUAACAAUAAUUUCACCUACCUCAGUUAACCAUUGUAAUUUGUAGGGCUUGGCAUGAGAGAUGGUAGACAAUCCAAGCUUAUCUACCACUCUUGUGCUUGCCACAUUAGCACAACUUUCCCCAUCCACAAUUAAAGAGCAUAACCUAUCAUUAAUAAGACAUCUUGCAUGAAAAAUAUUUUCUCUUUGACUUUCAUCAAAGGGUUUCAAAACUUGUCCAAGCAUUUGUCUUAUCACUAAUAGGUCACCUUCAUGUGGACUUUCACUCUCAUGCUCACUUGGGGAUCUAGAAGGUGAGGAACGUCUAGAGUUUUCGGACUCAUGCUCACUAACCACAACCCCAUCAUGCAUAUACAUAUUUCGUUUAGAAGGGGAAUUAGAAGCAAUAUGUCCAUAGCCUAAGCAUUUAAAACAUUUCUUACUAGACGAUUUAGUUGGUGAUUUAGGCGUGGGAAUGGAAGUAGAAGAAUUAGAAUCUCUUGGUUUGAAAGUAGAAUCUUUAGAAGGAAACUUUGAAAAAGAUUUAUUUUUGUUUUUCCAAGAAGAGUGGUAAUAGCCAUCAUUAGAAGAAUUUUUGAAAGCAUUUUUCAUUGCAAUUUGAGAUUCAACUUUGCUAGCAAGGUGAACUAAAGUUUGUAAAGAAGAAUAUUCUUGAAGCUCUACCACAUCUUGAAUGUCCCUUCUAAGACCACUAACAAAUCUAGCCAUCUUAUAGCAUCUUCACUCUCAUUCAUAUUAACUUUAACUAAAAGCGUGUCGAGUUCUUUAAAAUAAUCAUCCACACUUAGCGUGCCUUGAUGAAACCUUUGGAGUUUCAACAAUAGGUCUUUCCUAAAGUGUGGAGGAACAAAUCUAUCUCACAAGCAAGCUUUUAAAUCGUUCCAAGAGACCACAGACGACCUCUUGUUUAGCCCAAUGUCCAUGAGAGUCUGAUGCCACCAUUGCAUGGCAUAGUCUAAGAAUUCUAAAGAUGUUAGUCUAACCCUUUGAUCAUCUAAGACCCCAUGUACAUGAAAAAUUUGCUCAACCUUAGAGGUUGAUGGAUAAGAUCUUCAUGGGAAUGAAACUGUUGUAUAAUUCACUAAAAGUCGGCUAAGCUAAAAGUGGUUUAACAACCUUCAAUCUUUAAUGAGAAUUACCUUCACUUAUAUACUCUAAAUUUACUCUAUCUUUAAUUUAAUUGAUGUGAGAUCUUCGAACUAUAUCUUUAGAAUAACAAAAACUGACUUCUUUACAAUUGUAUCACAUAAGAAUAUCUAUCUCAGUCUCCAUUGGCAUAAUUAGCAGCAAAUUUAAAUGACAGAUGACAUUUAAGAACCCAUCCUUUCGGCAUGGAACUGGAAGACCACCCGUCCGAUGAUCAUAUAUGAAUUCUUCUUCUUCUUCUGCCUUAUAAAGUAAUUCUUGAAAUAAAGGUUGGUUCAUCUAAGAUAAUGGAAUAAAAAACCGUUUCAUCUUAUCUCCAACAUAAAUGCAAGAAAGCCUAUUGGAACUUCAAUCCACUAAAUGAUCUUUGUCUCGUAAUACUCGUUAUGCGGAAACCCGUAACAUUAUAUUCCUCCACGCAACAAAUAAUAUACUGUGAUAACUUGUUUGAGAUUCUUGAAUUCUACAAAGGAGUCUACCAAAACACAGGGAUCACAUGGUGUUGUCUUAGCGAUGGCUUCAAAAGGGUAGGAAUUUCAAUGAUGGACAUGCUUUUGAGAUUAUGGCUAACACAUUUAUCCACUUCAAGUUAAAGACAUCAAGAAGGGUCAAACCAAAUGCUUGUUCAUUGAUUAUCCUACUAUAUAGCUCUUUCAAUGAUGGACAUGCUUGGACAUCUCAUUAAUAAAUGACAGCUAUUGAUGUCAAUCACGUACCCACUUGUAUCAAUCACGUACCCACUUGUAUAAGAGAAGAGAAACCAAUGUCUAAACCGUGAGUUUUCUCAAAUUUAAAUGGAGGUAAGAAGAGAAGUGAAAUUCAAUACAAGUUCAUGCGACACUAUAUAUGAACCAUAGUCUUGAAAACUGACAUCUGAACUUCCAUAAACGAAGCUGGCAGUCCUAUCCAUGCAUAAUCAAUGUCAACAUCAUGCCACUACAUUUUCAUUUUGCCUAUACAUGUGAGACUCCUCUUGGACAUUACCACAUGCCCUUGUCUCUCAGUUGCUCCCAUCACUAUUAUCUCAUAAUCUUUCACCAAUAAUUCAAGUACCCUUCUUACAUAAGCUUUAUCUAUAUAUAUUCACGGUUACAAGCAUUUUGGAACCAACACAAAUCAUUCACAUCUUGAAGAAACAAAAUUCAUAAGCCUCAGCUCUCAAGCUCUUUUCAUACCAUUUUGUUAUCAAGUCUGAGCAAAUAUACAACACAACAAUGGGCUUUCGUUUACCUAGUAUCAGAAGGACAUCAUUCGCAGCAAACCAAACAUCUUCUAAGGGUAUGGAGGUGCCAAAGGGUUAUCUUGCAGUGUACGUUGGAGAGAAAAUGAAGCGAUUUGUGAUCCCCAUAUCAUACUUGAGCCAACCUUCAUUCCAAGACAUGUUGAGUGAAGCAGAGGAAGAGUUUGGAUAUGAUCAUCCCAUGGGUGGUCUUACGAUUCNNNNNNNNNNNNNNNNNNNNNNNNNNNNNNNNNNNNNNNNNNNNNNNNNNNNNNNNNNNNNNNNNNNNNNNNNNNNNNNNNNNNNNNNNNNNNNNNNNNNNNAGGCAUCUUCUCAAUUUGUAAACAUAACUCCUUUUUGAGUAAUAGGAAACACACUAAGAAUAACAUGUUUGCUUCUUUUUAUUUGUUUAAUGACAACGAGUUCAACUAAUCAAAAGGCCCCUCUAUGUUUUCUCUUUUUUAGAUUGCAAAUAUUAACUUCACCCAGUAUAAGCAGGGUUUCUCGCUGUAAAAUAAAAGCAAAACGUGGCUGUCCGAUGAAAUUCAAGGCAUUUAUAGAACACAUGUUUCUUAGCAUUGGAAGAACAACAAUAUAUUACUAGAACCAACGUGAAGGAUUAUCAAUAAUUUAUAUAUUUCCUCAUCCAAUUGAAAGAAGGAACAUAAAAUUACGUGCAAUACAUGAUGAUCUGUUUGCUUUAAGGAUUGCAAACUACUUUCAUUCUUUUUUAAGAACUUGAACUUGGUGACGGGUAGUGGCUUAGUGAAAACAUUUGUAAGGUGAUUUUUAUAAAAGAUAUACACACAAGGCUUCUAGAAGAAGGCUAAUAUCAUUUUUUUUUGUCUUUGCUCAAUUCUUUGUCAUUUCUCGUUGUACUGUUGAAUAAACUUUAAAUGUAAUUUGUGGGUUUUAAAAUUAGAAGUUACUAGAAAAUAGUAGAAUGAGAGUUUGGAUAUGUGAAAGGUCAAAAGUUGUGAGUGAGAUUUUAAUUAUGUUGUUAGUGGGAUUUUAAGGCCAUAAUGAAGAUUUUUCUAAAAGAGCUUCCUAAAGCCUAUAAAUAGGAUGCUCUCUCAGUUGUAAUAUGCACCAUAGAAAGAAAUACAAUAGAGAGAAAUACAAGAAGAAAAGUGUUUCUUUAGAGAAAAUCCAAGUGUGAGUGGUUGUCUGUUUUUCAAUUUGGUAUCAAGAGUCAAUGGCAAAUGUGACGGGUCAAAUACCGCUACCACGGUUAACGAAGACGACCAAAUAUGAUAACUAGAGCAUUCAAAUGAAACCUCUUCUCGGUUAUCAAGAUGAGUGGGAGGUGGUCGAAGAAGGUUUCGAAGAACCAAUAAAUUCCGCGGGUUAUACGACGGCUCAAACCAAGGCAUUGAAAGAGAUGCGAUCAAAAGAUAAGGCGACACUAUACAUGUUGUUUCGAGCGGUUGAUGAGUCGAGCUUUGAGAAGAUUGUUAAUGCAACUACAUCAAAAGAAGCGUGGGACAUCUUAAAAAAGGUGUUCAAAGGAGCCGACCGAGUCAAGCAAGUGCGUCUACAAACUCUUCGUGGUGAGUUAAAGAGCAUGAAGAUGAUGGAUUCAUAAAGUGUAUCUGACUACAUCACGCGAAUACAGACUGUGGUGAAUCAACUCAACCGAAAUGGUGAAACGUUGACCGAUGCAUGAGUUGUGGAGAAGAUUUUGAGAACAUUAACCGACAAUUUUGAGAGCAUUGUGUGUGCGAUAGAAGAGUCAAAGGACCUAACGACGCUCACAGUCGACGAGUUCGUUGGUUUUCUCGAGGCACACGAGCAACGAAAGAAGAAGAAGAAGGAGGAAAGACUCGAGCAAGUACUUCGAACCAAGGCGUCGAUAAAAAACGAAAACGUACUCUAUCAUCAAAAUUCUCGAAGUAGAGGACAUGAUGGAGAUCAGGGCCAAGGACAAAUAGAAGCCAAUCAACAAGGACAAGAAGAGGAAGAGGAUCAAGAGGUAGAUGCGCAAGACGUUAUUCAUCCUCCUCAAAGGCUUACAAGAAGCAUGUUCAAGGCCUUAGGAAAUAAUGGACAAUUAUUUUCUUUAUUUGUGAUAUCUUUGGUAGAUGGUGCUUAAGAGGGAAACAUAAGAAACCUCUUUUGUAAAAGCAUCCUUAUUUGUAGUUUAGAAAUAUUAGAAGCUUAGGGGGGUGUGAACUUAGUAAGGGAUGCUAGGGGGAGUGUAGAUAUGAGUUAGGAGGUGCCAAACUAGGAAGGAAAGUCACACUUCCUUCAUGCACUAGUUGGCGCCGAAGUUACAUGUCAUUUAGGGGCACAUUUGCAUUUGAUUAGCUUUGCAUUUCAGCACCUUAUAGGCUAUAAAUAAAGGUGCUUAGCUUGUACAAAUCAGAUUUGGAAUUUGAAGUAAGAAAACUCUACUCAAUUUGAGAGAGAAAUUGGAAGAGCUUUGGUGCCUUCAUCAAGUCUUAUCUUGGGUGUCAAUGGUGAACCUCAAGUGGCGGCAACACACUAAUCUUGGAGUAUCCACACUCUAAGUGGCGUGAUCACUCACCUAUUCUUCCAUCUCCAUAAGUUUUCUAUUCUCAUUCUUUGUUUCUUCUUCAUGUUCAUGUUCUAGCUUACUUGUUCUUCAAUUCUGUUCGGUGCCUUUGCUGUAUUUUCAAUUCUGUUUGGUAUUUUCCUUUCAUUGGCUGAAUUCAAUUGUUGUUUCUUCAAUUCUUGUGGUUGUGAUUCAAUUUGACAAUACAUGGACUUCCAUGUGAGCUUUGGUUCGGUGCAAAGUCUUGGUGAGUUUUGAAGUAUAACUUGAUGCAAUUCUAACUAAAGUGCCAAUUCAUGACCAACUCAAGUUGUUCCUAAGAAUGUCAAAGAAUCAUGUAUUCUUGCUAUUGCAUUCACAUCAGGACAUGUUUGGAAAUUGUGGAAACGGUCAAGGUGGUAAAGGCAGUAGUCAUGAAGGGUACUAUAAGGAGAAGGAACAGUAGAGCCAACCAAAUUGGCGUUGAAGAGGACGUGGUCGAGGAAGAGGCAGACGAUCAAAUUACUCCAACAUCGAGUGCUACAAAUGUCACAAAUAGGGUCACUAUGUGAAGGAUUGCAACUCCGACAAAUGUUAUAAUUGUGAUAAAGUGGGGCAUUUUGCUAUAUAAAGAUAGAAGAGGCCACCAACCUAGCCUUGGAAGAUGAAACGAAUGAAGGUGUUCUCUUGAUGGCUCAAGAUGAAGUCAACAUUAAUAGUGACACUCUGUGGCACCUCGACUCGGGAGCAAGCAACCAUAUGUGCGCUCAUAAUUACCUAUUCAAAGAGAUGCAAAAGAUUGAAGAUGGUCAUGUGUCAUUUGGAGAUGCAUCAAAUGUGGAGGUCAAAGGCUGAGGUACGGUUCGGUACUUACAAAAAGAUGGCUAAUUGGGUCACUCCAAGAUGUUUAUUACGUACCAGACCUCAUGACCAACAUUUUGAGUAUAGGGCAACUCACGAAGAAAGGUUACUCAAUAUUUUUAAAAGAUCGGCUACUACACUUGAAGAACAAGCAAGGGCGUUUGGUUGCGAUAAUCGAGACGAUAAGAAAUCAUAUGUACAAGUUAAAUUUAAGAAGCAUACUAGAAAAAUGUUUGGAAGUCAACAUUGAAGAUAAGGCAUCGUUAUGGCAUCUUCAUCAUUGGUCACCUACAUCAUUGUGGUUUAAAAGAGUUAGCGAAGAAGAAUAUGGUGCACAGGCUACCCAACAUGGACUACGAGGGAAAAUUUUGUGAAGAAUGUGUGCUCAGCAAGCAUGUGAGAACCUCGUUUCCAAAGAAGGCUCAAUAUUCGGCUAAGAAACCUCUCAAAUUGAUUCAUAUCGACAUAUGUGGACCAAUUACUCCAAAAUCCUUUAGCGGUAAAAGGUAUUUCAUUACUUUUAUCGAUGAUUUCUCACAAAAAGCUUGGGUUUAUUUUCUAAAGGAAAAAUCCGAGGCAUUCGAGGUGUUAAAAAAGUUCAAGGUGAUGGUGGAAAAGACAACUGAUAGACAAAUCAAAGUUGUACGAUUCGAUAGAGGUGGCGAGUAUGCUUCGACGACUUUCAUGAAGUAUUGCAAGGAGCAAGGCAUAAGGCGAUUUCUAACUGCACCGUACACUCCUCAACAAAAUGGUGUGGCCAAGAGGAAGAACCAGACCAUUCUCUACAUGGUUCGAUCAAUGCUUAAGAGAAAAAGAUGCCAAAGGAAUUGUGGGCGGUAGUUGUGCAAUUCGCCAUCUAUGUGCAAAACCAAUGUCCACAUGUGAAGUUAGAUGAUCAAACACCACAAGAGGCUUGGAGCGGACAAAAGCCAACAAUUUCUCAUCUCAAAGUGUUUAGUAGUGUGGCUUAUGCACAUAUACCAGACCGACGAAGAACAAAGCUUGAAGACAAAAGGAAAAGGUAUAUUUUUAUUGGGUAUGAUGAGAAGACAAAAGGAUACAAGCUCUUUGAUCCGAUAAGCAAAAAGGUGAUGGUGAGUCGUGAUAUGGGAAUAAAUGAAGCAAGCGAGUGGGAUUGGAACAAUUAUUAAGAGGUUAUGAUUGAGGUUGGAGAAUCAUUAGUCGUUGCACCGACAAGUAUAAAUUCCAAAACUACUGAUGAUGAAAACGAACCACGACAACCUAAAAUGCGAAGUUUUGCAAAAUUUGUAUGAUUCGACUAAUGAGGUACAUCUUGUAUGUCUUUUGGCAGUUGCAGAAAAUAUCAGCUUUGAAGAGGCGGUGCUAGACAAGAAGUGGCAAACUGCCAUGGAUGAGGAGAUUAAAGCGAUUGACCACAACAACAUAUGGGAGUUAACAUAAUUGCUAGAGGGAAGUAAGCCCAUUGGUGUGAAGUGGGUAUUCAAGAAAAAGAUGAAUGCUCAAGGCGAGAUAGAGAGGAACAAGGCACGACUCGUUGUGAAGGGAUACAAACAAAAGGAGGGAAUUGACUACGAUGAGGUGUUUGCUCUGUUAUAAGAAUGGAGAUGAUUCGGUUGCUUAUUUCCCAAGCGACUCAAUUUAAAUGGCUGAUAUUUAAAAUGGACGUCAAGUCGGCAUUCUUGAAUGGUGUGCUUGAAGAAGAAGUCUACAUCGGACAACCACUUGGGUACAUGAAAAUCGGAGAAGAGAAGAACGCACUUUACAGGUUGAAACAAGCACCGCGGGCAUGGAAUACUCGUAUCGAUACAUACUUCAAGGAGAACGAGUUCAAGCAAUGUUCUUACGAGCAGGCUCUUUACGCAAAGAACCGUGGAGGUAACAUGAUAUUUGUUGCUCUUUAUGUUGAUGAUCUCAUUUUUAUGGGUAACAAUAAUGAGAUGAUAGAAGAGUUUAAAGGCAGAAUGUGACAAAAUUUGACAUGACAAAUUUGGAAUUGAUGAAGUUUUUCCUUGGUUUGGAGGUUAGACAAAAAGAAACGAGUAUUUUUGUAUCAAAAAAGAUUUUGAAGAAGUACAAGAUGGCAAAUUGCAACCCAAUCUCAAUACCAAUGGAACCAGGUUCAAAACUCUCAAAGUUCGAUGGAGGAGAACGUGUCGAUGCAAGUAUAUACCGGAGUUUGGUAGGAACCCUUCAUUAUCUCACAUGCACGAGGUCAUAUCUUUCAUUAAGUGUCAACAUCAUAAGCCGAUUCAUGGAGGAACCGAUUCUCUCACAUUGGAAGGCGUUGAAGCGAGUCCUACGUUACAUCCAAGGUACUGUAUCACUCGAAUUGUUCUACUCGAAAGCAGAAGAUUACAAGUUGGUGGGUUAGUCUAACAGCGAUUGGUGUGGAGACAUAGAUGAUCAGAAAGUACAUCGGGAUAUGUAUUCUUUAUAGGCAACACAAUAUUUUCUUGGCUUUCAAAGAAGCAAUCGAUCGUGACGCUAUCGACGAGUGAAGCUGANNNNNNNNNNNNNNNNNNNNNNNNNNNNNNNNNNNNNNNNNNNNNNNNNNNNNNNNNNNNNNNNNNNNNNNNNNNNNNNNNNNNNNNNNNNNNNNNNNNNCAUCUUGGUGUGUACAUCAUGCGAUAUGGCUUACAAACUUGUUAAGCAAGAUGGAGCUAAAACAACCAACUGCAACCGUGAUUCAAGUUGACAACAAAUCAGCAAUUGAGUUGGCAAAGAACCCAAUGAAAGAAGCAAACACAUUAACGUUCAUUUUCACUUUAUCCGUGAUCAUGUGAAGAAAGAAUGUGUGGAAUUGGUGCAUGUGGCAAGUCAGGAUCAAGUUGCGGAUAUCUUCCCAAAAACGCUACCGAAAAUACUUUUUGACAAAUAAAAGAAUAGGAUUGACAUGAUGGAUGGUAGAAACAUUUAAGUUAAUUAGAAGUUACUAGAAAAUAGUAGAAUGAGAGUUUGGAUACAUGAAAGGUCAAAAGUUGUGAGUGGGAUUUUAAUUAUGUUGUUAGUGGGGUUUUAAGGAUACAAUGAAGUUUUUUCUAGUAGAACUUCCUAAAGCCUAUAAAUAGGAUGCUCUCUCAGUUGUAAUAUGCACUACAAAAAGAAAUACAAUAGAGAGAAAUACAAGAAGAAGAGUGUUUCUUUAGAGAAAAUCCAAGUGUGAGUGGUUGUCUGUUUUUCAUGUACAAGUGUUUAGUCUUUAUUUUAUUUUUUUUUGGUUCCUCUCUUUGUACAUUGGUUUUUUUUUUGUUUUAAAUUCUCUCUUUAGCUAGACCAAUGAGUGUACUGUUUGUAUAUAUUUAGAGCCUAUGCAUUGAAUUCAGUAAAACCCUAAAAGAAAUAUUCAUUCUCAUAUCAUUUGCCUUCCUUUCUCUCUUUUGUGUUAAGCAUUAAACCAAAAGUCGUCACCAAUUUUGUUUUCAAAUUUGAAUGGUCAAUAAUUAUAACCUUUAAUUCAAGUUUUAAAUGUCAGUUAUAGUAUGAUUUUGAAUGUAAUUUAUAAUAUAGGAUUUUUCAUAAAAGAUGAGAGUAUGGAUUAUCACUAUUGUAGCUUGGUGUUGUCAGUAAGGAUAUCUAUGAUUUCCUCCUGUUCCAUGUUAAGGUCAAUUAAAUAUUCAGAUUCUAGAUGUCUAACCAUUGUAUAAUAUCUUUAAGAGAGUUUUCGUGAUAACAAACACUUGCACAAGUCAAAGACUUGGUACUGCUUUACGUUAAAGAGAUCGUAAGAGAUCAGAGGGGGAGCCCUGUUGACAAUAUACUAUUCUCUGAACAACGUUGAGAACGGGUCGAAUGAAGUAAUGUGUUCGUCGGGGAGACUGACAAACACAUAAAUAGCUUACAGUACACGGCAUCAGAACCUCCUGAAAGCAUCAUCUGGGUAUAGAACGCCGUGAUAUGCGCUUCAGGGUCCUCUACUCCUGUGAAGGUGACCUUCGGGCCCAAGGACGUGGCUAGUAUCAUGGUGUCCAUGAUCACCUGAGAGAACGACAUGGGGGCAGCCUUAACUGGCAGCGGCGGGGCUCGCUUAUCCACAAUACGUUCUCCUACGUUCUACAAAUUCCUACGCAGCUCCUCAUUGGUUAUGCGCAGCUCUUCAUUGUUUGCUUGCGAUCUGGCCAGAUCAACCUGGAAAUGAUCCUGGUCGACUCUGGACGUUGCUACUGCCUCUUGAAGGGCGCAUAUGGUCUCCAUGAGCUGCUGCAUGGAGACGUUGUCCCCUCCUGAGGGCGCAGCAGAUCCUUGUCUCGUGCUCUUCAUGUUGCUGGUGGCUUUCAGCACGAUUGCGGAUGGGACCUAGUUUUAUCGAGCCCCACAAUGGGCACCAAAUGUUCUCGCCGGUUGACCUAAUAUCCGGUUGACACUACAAAAAAACGUGUAUAUUGCGGCGGUUAUUUUCGCAAAAACUGGCGUUUUUAACCGCCGCAUUAUACGUCUGUGGCGGUACCGCGUACUGCCAGAAUUCUUGCCGCCACAAAGUUUAAUGUGGCGGUCAAUUGAGAACCGUUGUAGCAGACGCCAUAUUACGCAUUGUAUAAAGCGGCGAUUUUAAGGGUGUAAUUGGCGUCAGUUAUAAAUAUCGUAAUUUUAAAGCUGGGUAAACCAAUUCUAAUGUAAAUAGUGGCAGUUUUAACCGCCACUUAAUACAGUAUAGUAUGACAUUUAUAAUACACUUUAUAACUGUCAUAAUUCGAAUAUUAAAUAUUUAAUUUUAUUUUUAAUAUUUAUAAUAAUUUAUUUAAUUUUAUUUUAUAAUUUGAUUUCAUAAUAUUAUUUAAUUUCGUAUUAUAAUUAAACUUUAAUUUUAUUUUUAAAAUUUAUAAUAAUUUAUUUAAUUCUAUUUUAUAAUUUGAUUUUAUAAUAUUAAUUAAUUUGAUAUUAUGUUUCAUAAUAUAAUUAAAAUUGAUAAAUAUAAUAAUCAAAAGAUGAGUUCAUUCAUUCAUUGAAAGAACAAAGUUCAUAAUGUCAAAUUAAUACAAACAACAAGUAAAUUAAAUUGUCAAAAUAUAAAUUGUUUCACUUUCUAAACAUAUUACAAGUAAAUUCUCAAUACUAAUUUGUCUUACUCCUUCCACUCGAUCUUAUAUUCUGGUUUGGUGAUGGAGCACCACUAGCAACAUCCGGUGCCUGAAAUAAGUUAAAAUAUGUUUAAAGUUAAUUGACAAUUUUUAAAAAAUAAAUGAAAACAAUAUUAUAAUAAAAUUUUAAGUAUAGUAAUUUAUAGAAGCACAUUAUACAAGCAAUCUGUAAUCUUCAUCAUAGGAUCCCACCUUGUCUCUAUUGUUAUCACCAAACCUGUCACCAUCUCUAGAUCCAAAGCCUCCAUACUUACCACUGCUCUGAAACUCCAAUGUACCUACAUUGAGCACCCAAAAGAAAAAUAAGAAAAUUAUUUUAUGACUACACAUUCUAUUGUAGUAGUUUGUUGACCUGAUAAUUCUAGGAUGAAAAUAUUGACAAAUUUGACCUACUUGUCACGAUUUGUAGCAACUUUAUUUUUGACAUCAUGUAUCUUAUAUUAUACCUAUCAUUCAAAAGGGACACAAUGUUUUCAUCCUUUUUCCUUGCAUUGAGUCCUACGUCCUUCCCACUUGGCUCAACAUAUUCAAAACUAGAAAGUGCCUUAACCAAUCCAAAGUAAAUUAAGAUAACAUCAGAAAAUACUCUUUUAUUUUACUGGUCAACAGAGUUGUUAAUUGCAAGCAUGAAAUUAGCUAAAUACAAGAGAAUUUCCCUUACUGGAAAAUGAAAAGUAUGUUCUAUAAUGUCGUCAACUGCACGUUCACAUCCAUGUGCUACCAAAUACUCGAUAAUCGCUAACGCCUGAAUUAACAUAAUUCAAGUUAUUGAAAGAAAAGCAAAUUGUAUGUAUCAACACAAAAAAUACCUCCAAAAAGCCUUUUCUUUGUAUCUUAAAAUCUUAGGAAAUGACAUGAUUAUUUGGAAGGCAUUACCUUGUAUACAUAUCUCCAAUCUUUUCCAGUUUCGCCCAGUCUUGUCCAAAGGACAUUCAUGGCCAUUUGACAUUCAGUAGCAGUAUAGAAGAGAAGCAAUAAUUUAGUAGAACAAGUAUCAGAAAUUUUCUCAAAAUACAAAAACAAAAAAACAAACAAUAAAAGUAAUAUAACCGGAAAAAAAGAUAGAUAGAUAGUUGUUUACAAUUUUUUGGUAGCCGGGGAAAUCUCUGCCAGUGCAGUACCAUGACGACCCCAAGGUUCAUUAUCAGUUGCAUCGAGCACCUAAUUUGUGAAAAAUGGUAAAACAGUCAAUAAAAUAAUACAGUGGCCAAUACUAGUAUUAUUGGUAUCAAGUAAUACUUUAUAGUUUGUAAAUAUAUAAAAUCUGGCAGUCCAACACAAUGGCAUCAACAAAUUAUUCAAAAAUUACUUGAUAAUAGGUAGAGAACAUUUUCUCUUUUCAAUCCAUCCUUAAAACACAAAUUGAUGAUUUUAGAAUUGUUCUGCACCCUAAAUCUCCUUAAGUUUCUUCUCAUAAAACAUUUGUAUCACAUCAAAAUUUAAUGUUAACACUUUCCAUGAUUCCUGAAAGGGGAAAUAGUUAAUGCAUGAAUGUAUAAAUCUCCGUGUACUAGUAAGAAAUGAUCUAUCUAACUCUUCUCUACAAACCUUGAAAGAGAACAAACUAGUGUUCAACAUCAAUAUAUGUUUCCUACAAAUUAUAUCUACCACAUAAUAAGUUGAAUAAACAAGUUUUAAACUAGUAGAAUUUUUUCGAACUGAUUGAAAAGUAUUUGGUGAAAGUGUCUAUUUGUCAAAACUUUCUAAUCAAUUUCUCUUCCCAUAUUGGUGAUAAAAAAAUCUCUUCCCAUAACACGUUUUAAUUUAAAAUUUAUUAACGAGAUGAAUUUAAAAAUACUCAUACCAAUAAUAUUCAAUGAAUUAAAAUUAAUUUUCACAAAUCUUAAAACAAAAUACCCAUGAAACAAGAAGAACCCUCUCUGUGUAACCCCCAAAAUUUGACAAAGGUUUAAAAAGUACCCAAUAAACCUUAUGAUAUAAUCGUAAAUCUAGUUAUGCACUACAAAUCACUAUUUAUAAACUGACAAAUGGACCUAACAUGAAAUUCUAAAAGCUAACAUAACUUUUGCAUCCAAAUUGAAUAAUCUCCCCUAAGUGUCACCUAAUAGUUCUGCAAAUAGUCAAAGCUCAAAGGCUGUUGGUUUUUUAAAUGGCCACCAUCCAACUGGCGUUCUUAUCCUUACAGGGUGGGAUACAACACAACCAAUUCCUAACAAGCCGGUCUUUUCUUGACUCCCAAAAUUUAAUAAAAAAACAUUAAUUUAAAGUAUAUUUCUUUGAAUUGUCUUAUUUGCAAUUUCAAUUUUUCAUCAAUGGAGAAUCAAUUUUAGAAACCCCACGAGCUCAUUCAACUCCCAAUAUGAUCCAAGUGGUUUCCAAUGGACCCCUUCUACAGUACUUGAUAAUAUUACUCGUCACCCCUAUUUUUUUUCAUCCAGCUUAGCUAUUAUAGUUUUAAACCCACUGCGUCUUUGAAGAAAACACCAAUGUACUUAACUACACACAGCUAUGUAAGCACUUUUGUUACUCUAAUAAUAUUAAUUAACUAUCUUGUCACAUAUAUUAAUUAUAAUCUCCAGCAAAAAAACCCAACAUUAUUAAAAAUGAUGCCUAUAGAGAAUAUAACCCAAUAACACCCGUCACUCAGUUGAAUCCAAUAAUAUCUUAUAAAACGGUUUUUCAAAACUUAUAAAACAUGUGCUAAUAUCUUAAUAAUAUCGUUACGAAUAGCUACAAUAGAAACAACAUUCAACAUCGAUGCACAAAACUUGACAGUGAAAUCGUAGAGCAUAACAUUCAACAUCCACAAAAAAGAAAAAGAAAAAUAAAUUGAUAGACAAAUUGUGUACCUGCAGCAUUCAACAUCCACAAAAAAAGAAAAAGAAAAAUAAAUUGAUAGACAAAUCGUGUACCUGCAGCUAGCGAAAUUGUAGAGUUUUCCGGUGUUGGAGAAAAUCAUAACUCCGACUUCAGCAUCGCACAAGAUCGCAAGUUGUUUCGCCUUCUUCAGCAAACCAUUCCUUCGCUUCGAGAAGGUGACUUCCUGUCCCCAUACCAAACCCUAACAAUCAGAUUCUUCCGAUUCAGAAAAGCACUCGCUGUAAAACAGAUCCACACACAAAACUUCAAUUAGAUGAAGAAGAAAAAAAAAUAAAAAGCGAAAAUCAAAACAACGCGGUUGCGAAAGAGAAAAUAGAAGACGGUUGGAUCCACAUGUUGUGGUGACGAAGGAAGACCAAUUUAGUAACUAACUAAUUAAUAAGUUAAACAAAGAAUUUUGGGAAUAGGUUUUUAAAGGAUUUUCAAAAAUUUGGGAGAAUCAGGGGAAUGUAGGAAGCGAACGAGUAACUUGCAGAGAUGAUGGAGAGUGGAGAGUGAAAAAAGAGCGAGAAAACGGGAUUGUUUCAAAAAACUCUACCUCAAACGGAGCCGAUGGUGGAUUUGGUAGAGAGAAAAUGGUGAGUGGCGGAGAGAAGAGCGAGAAGAUGGUGGAUGUGGCAGAGAGAAGAACAACAGAGAGAAGACGUGAGUGAGUGAAGUAGGUGAGGGUUUCACAAUGAGGUGCGCUAGUGAGUGAAGCGGGUGAGGGUUUCGCAAGGAGGGUUUUCACGAAGGCUUAACGUGAGGAGUUUUCGACCAGGAUUUCAUUAGGGUUCGACGCAGAGAGAAAGGAGGAGAGAGGGAAAAGUCACAAAUGAGGUUUUCAAAAACAACAUUAGGGUUCCUGAAUAGUGAAACUAAAUUUUAAAAAAAAUAAUUGGAAAUAAUAAGGCGGAUAAUUGUGGCGGUUCAAACUGACAUAUUCUGAAGGAUAAUUAUGACAGUUAGUUAAAUGUCAUAUUAUACGGAAAUUUGUGACAGUUAUUAAUAACCGCCAUAUUAAAACUGCCACUUUAUACAUAAUUUUUUGUAGUGUGACUCGAACGACAGUCUCCGCUUGAGAAUCGAACCUUCUUAGGUUUAAGGACGUUUUCCUGCAAAGACAAAAGGGCGCCCUAGCGGCCGUUAAAAGGGCGCCCUAGCGACCGUUUGCACUCCGACACUAAUGUGUAUAAGCAGUUUCAAUCUUAGAAACGGCGUACCUUGCUAGGGUUCUUACCACCCUAUUUAUAGGUUGUAUCUAGGGUUACUUCUACUACGCUCCCACAUCUCUUAAUGGGCUUAGGGUUCCUGGGAGAAUGUCCUUGCGCCGCUAUCACACAAUCUUAGCGUAAUCUGGCGCAUAGGACUUCCCUUUCCUGGAUUGCAAAGACUUAACAGCGUAGCCGCCAAGUACCUAUUCACGUACCAGCGCUUGCGGCAUCAUCUGUUAUGCGGGUCACGUGUCAUGCAUGCAGUCUUUCCCUAGAAACCCUAACCCUAACAGGCCUUAGCAAAUGUAACAUACACACCCCUUGCAUGAUUCUCUCGUGACUUAGGUUUCUUUUGGUAUCGGGAGGUUUCUUUUGGUAUCGGGAUGUUAACCCAUGUUAACUCAUGCAAUAUGUGGGACCCAGCUUACGUAUGUCCGAUGUCUUUCUCUCAGACGGAUGACUAAUGUUUGGCCUGUACAAAAAUACAUAACUGGUUGAAGUAACUACAUUUGAAAUAAGAGAUCCGUGUAGUUGUGUGGUUUCAUUAGGAAAAAUGAAGAAUGAACGGCCAUUGGAGAAUGUAUUUUCUAAAUUUCUUAUGACCAAUUAUUUCAAGUUGUUAUACUAAUGCUUGCAGUUUCGUUUCGGUAGACUAUACGUAUAUUGCAGUAUUAAAUUUUUAUUAAGGAACAAAUGUAACAAAAAAUACAUAACUGGUUGAAGUCAGUACUUUUGAAUAAGAGAUCCGUGUAUAGUUGUGUGGCUUAAUUAGGAAAAACAGAAGAAAGAACGGCCAUUGGAGAAUGUAUAGUUAGAAACAGUAUAAUUUAGAUCAAUAUCUAUGAAAUAAUAGCUGCACCGAAUUUCCUGAUAUAUAUCAACUAAACUUGAUUGAUAUUAAUAAAGAAUGUUUUGUAAAAACUUUCUCUUCAUUGUAACAUCAUUUUACUUUCAAAUUACAAACUAAAAUAGAAAAAAUUUAAAAUGGAAGUUCCUUCUGUACAAAGUUGCCUCAGUUAAUCUAUGAUCUAGCUCAGUCUCCCUAAGGUCCAGCCUGCUAGAGUGAUUUACAAACUUGUCUCAUCUAACAUUAUCUUCUAUUUGCUUCCUCUAAGAUUAUCUAUCUCAGGUUCUCCAUGAAAAUGCUUUACAACUGAUUGAAGUGAGAGAUGAUAUUUAGGAACUCAUCCUCCUGGCAUGGAAUUGUGAGAGCACCCUUUGGAUGAUCAUAUCCAAAUUCUUCUUCUGCUUUACUAAGCAAUUCUUGAAAUGAAGGCUGGUUCAAGUAUGAUACUGGAAUCACACACCGCCUCAUUUCAUCUCCAACAUAAACUGCAAUAUAGCCCUUUGGUACUUCACCCCCCUUGGAGGCCACUUGGAUUGUAGAAACUGAUGCUCGUCUAAGAAUACCUUUUAUGCGGAAACCCAUUGUUUUAUCUUUCUUCACUCCACAAAGAAUAUAUUGAUGUUAGAGGAUUUGUGUAUGAAAGAAAUUUUUAACUUGUAUUACUUGAGGAAUGCAAUCAGUUGUGGUGCUUGAAACCCAAACAAGUACUGCAUAUAUAGUUUCCAAAUGCCCUCUGCUAACUCAUACACCUCAAUUAUUGAUCUUUUGAUUGUCUACAAUGGAUUCAACCAAGAGACAAGAUCACAAGGUGUUGUCUUAGAUAUCUCCUUCAAGGACUUGGCAAUUCAAUGGGACUACUUACCCCGCCUUUUUAGAUUCUAGCCAACAGAUUUACCCCCUUCAAAUUAAAAUUGAAAGCAAUGCUUAUUCAUGAGUUAUGAUUCUACAGCUAUUUCAAUGAUCGACAUGCUUUAGACAUCUCACAUGCAUCGCCAUGUGUACACUAAAUUGAAUUGGAGGUUAGAAGAGAAGCAAUAUUGAACGCAUCUUCACGGUGCCCUAUGAACCACACUCUUUCUGUGUCUGGCAAAUUUGAGAACAACCAUUUCAACUUCCAUAAAUGAAAUUCCUCUCGCCAAAUAAUUGUCAAUAUCAUGGCGCAUUAGAUUUUUUUUUUCACACAUAUACUUCUAAGAGUCCUAUGGACAUUACCACAUGCCCUUGUCUAGCAGUUGGCCCAUGACUAUUAUCUCAUAAUCUUUCACCAAUAAUUCAAGUACCCUUCUUACAUAAGCUUUAUCUAUAUAUAUAUUCACCGUUGCAAGCAUUUUAGAACCAACACAAAUCAUUCACAUCCUGAAGUAACAAAAUUCAUAAGCCUCAACUCUCAAGCUCUAUUCGUACCAUUUUGUUAUCAAGUCUGAGCAAAUAUACAACACAAGAAUGGGCUUUCGUUUACCUAGUAUCAGAAGGACAUCAUUCGCAGCAAACCAAACAUCUUCUAAGAGUAUGGAGGUGCCAAAGGGUUAUCUUGCAGUGUACGUUGGAGAGAAAAUGAAGCGAUUUGUGAUCCCCAUAUCAUACUUGAUCCAACCUUCAUUCCAGGACAUGUUGAGUGAAGUAGAGGAAGAGUUUGGAUAUGAUCAUCCCAUGGGUGGUCUUACGAUUCCUUGCAGUGAAGAUGUCUUCCAAAGCACAACUUCACACUUGAAUAGACAUUAAGUCUGGUAAUAUAGAAGUCUGACACAGAAUUGAAGAGCCAUUUUGUUAUAGGCAUCUUCUCAAUUUGUAAAUAUAACUCCUUUUUGAGUAUAGGAAAAAUGCGAUCAUAGUA
rnacentral:lncRNA from 1 species